GGGAGGUUGGCGGUGGACGUGCUUCUCGCCAACCGGGUCAGGUCCGGAAGGAAGCAGCCCCAACGAGUUCGGCGCGGGUCGCUGUCCAGCCUCCUUGA
rnacentral:SRP_RNA from 1 species